rnacentral:rRNA from 1 species
GCACAAGCGGUGGAUGAUGUGGUUUAAUUCGAUGCAACGCGAAAACCUUACCACCUUUGACAUGUACGGAACCCUUUAGAGAUAGAGGGGUGCUCGAAAGAGAGCCGUAACACAGGUGCUGCAUGGCUGUCGUCAGCUCGUGUCGUGAGAUGUUGGGCUAAGUCCCGCAACGAGCGCAACCCUUGUCAUUAGUUGCUACAUUCAGUUGGGCACUCUAAUGAGACUGCCGGUGUCAAACCGGAGGAAGGUGGGGAUGACGUCAAGUCCUCAUGGCCUUUAUGACCAGGGCUACACACGUACUACAAUGGCCGGUACAAAGGGCAGCGACACAGCGAUGUGAAGCCAAUCCCGAAAAGCCGGUCUCAGUCCGGAUUGGAGUCUGCAACUCGACUCCAUGAAGUUGGAAUCGCUAGUAAUCGCGGAUCAGCACGCCGCGGUGAAUACGUUCCCGGGCCUU